UCAAGUGACUAAGUGUAUGUGGUGGAUGCCUUGGCGAUUACAGGCGAAGAAGGACGUGGCAGUCUGCGAAAAGCCGUGGGGAGCUGACAACGAGCGUUGAACCAUGGAUAUCCGAAUGAGGGAACUCACCUGCAAAGGUAUCUUUAAGUGAAUUCAUAGCUUAAAGAGGCGAACGGAGUGAACUGAAACAUCUAAGUAGCUCCAGGAAAAGAAAUCAACCGAGAUUGCGCUAGUAGCGGCGAGCGAAUGCGCAGCAGCCUAAUGCUUGAUAACACUGACAACAGUAGAACGAUCUGGAAAGUUCGGCCAAAGACGGUGAUAGCCCGGUAUAUGAAAUUGUUAGUGUGGUACUAAGAGCAUGAGAAGUAGAGCGGGACACGUGACAUCCUGCUCGAAGAUGGGGGGACCAUCCUCCAAGGCUAAAUACUCGUAAUCGACCGAUAGUGAACCAGUACCGUGAGGGAAAGGCGAAAAGAACCCCGGGAGGGGAGUGAAAUAGAAUCUGAAACCGCAUACAUACAAACAGUAGGAGCCCGCAAGGGUGACUGCGUACCUUUUGCAUAAUGGGUCAGCGACUUACGUUCAGUAGCGAGCUUAACCGAGUAGGGGAGGCGUAGCGAAAGCGAGUUCGAAUAGAGCGAGUAGUUGCUGGGCGUAGACCCGAAACCGGAUGAUCUAUCCAUGACCAGGUUGAAGUUGUGGUAACACACAAUGGAGGACCGAACCGACUAGUGUUGCAAAAUUAGCGGAUGAGUUGUGGAUAGGGGUGAAAGGCUAAACAAAUCCGGAGAUAGCUGGUUCUCCCCGAAAACUAUUGAGGUAGUGCCUCGCGUAUCACUCCAGGGGGUAGAGCACUGUUAUGGCUAGGGGGACAUGGCGUCUUACCAAACCAUGGCAAACUCCGAAUACUUGGAAGUGUGAGCGCGGGAGACAGAGCACCGGGUGCUAACGUCCGGACUCAAAAGGGAAACAACCCAGACCGCCGGCUAAGGUCCCUAAUAUUUGCUAAGUGGAAAACGAAGUGGGAAGGCUAAGACAGUCAGGAAGUUGGCUUAGAAGCAGCCAUCCUUUAAAGAAAGCGUAAUAGCUCACUGAUCGAGUCUUUCUGCGCGGAAGAUGUAACGGGGCUAAGCAAGUAACCGAAGCCGCGGAUUCAUACGAAAGUAUGAGUGGUAGGGGAGCGUUCUGUAAGCCUGCGAAGGUGUGUUGAGAAGCAUGCUGGAGGUAUCAGAAGUGCGAAUGCUGACAUGAGUAACGUUAAAGCGGGUGAAAAGCCCGCUCGCCGUAAGCCCAAGGUUUCCUGCUCUACGUUCAUCGGAGCAGGGUGAGUCGGCCCCUAAGGCCAGGCUGAGAAGCGUAGUCGAUGGGAACAAGGUUAAUAUUCCUAGACCAUUGUCAAGUAUGCGAUGGGGGGACGGAGUGUGAAAGAUGAUCCGGGUGUUGGAUAUCCCGGUUUGUGAGAGUAGAAGGAAGGCAGGCAAAUCCGCCUUCGAAUCUUCGAGUCAAAACAUCGAUUCUCCACGAGAGAAGAAGUCAUCGGAAGUGCUUCCAAGAAAAGCCUCUAAGUGGUAGCUUGACAAGACCGUACCGUAAACCGACACUGGUGGGCGAGUUGAAUAUACUAAGGCGCUUGAGAGAACUCGGGAGAAGGAACUCGGCAAAUUGACACCGUAACUUCGGAAGAAGGUGUGCCUUUGUAGCGUGAGAGAAGAAACAUCUUAAGCGUGAAGAGGCCUCAGAGAAUAGGUGGCUGCAACUGUUUACUAAAAACAUAGCACUCUGCAAAGAUGAAAGUCGACGUAUAGGGUGUGAUGCCUGCCCGGUGCUGGAAGAUUAAUUGAUGGGGUGCAAGCUCCUGAUCGAAGUCCCAGUAAACGGCGGCCGUAACUAUAACGGUCCUAAGGUAGCGAAAUUCCUUGUCGGGUAA
rnacentral:rRNA from 1 species